rnacentral:rRNA from 1 species
GACGAACGCUGGCGGCGUGCUUAACACAUGCAAGUCGAACGAAGUGGCGAACGGGUGAGUAACGCGUAAUCAACCUGCCCUUCAGUGGGGGACAACAGUUGGAAACGACUGCUAAUACCGCAUACUGAAGGUGGGGAUUGCGUCUGAGUAGCUAGUUGGAGGGGUAACGGCCCACCAAGGCGAGGAUGAGUAGCCGGUCUGAGAGGAUGAACGGCCACAUUGGGACGGAGACACGGCCCAGACUCCUACGGGAGGCAGCAGUGGGGAAUCUUCCGCAAUGGACGAAAGUCUGACGGAGCAACGCCGCGUGAGUGAAGAAGGUUUUCGGAUCGUAAAACACUGUUGUUAGAGAAGCGGUAUCUAACCAGAAAGCCACGGCUAACUACGUGCCAGCCGCCGCGGUAAUUC